AACGAACGCUGGCGGCAGGCUUAGCACAUGCAAGUCGAACGAGAUCUUCGGAUCUAGUGGCAGACGGGUGAGGAACACGUGGGAACAUCCCUUCCAGUUCGGAAUAACGUUGGGAAACUAACGCUAAUACCGGAUACGUCCUUCGGGAGAAAGAUUUAUCGCUGAAAGAUUGGCCCGCGUCUGAUUAGCUAGUUGGUGAGGUAAUGGCUCACCAAGGCUACGAUCAGUAGCUGAUCUGAGAGGAUGAUCAGCCACAUUGGGACUGAGACACGGCCCAAACUCCUACGGGAGGCAGCAGUGGGGAAUAUUGGACAAUGGGCGCAAGCCUGAUCCAGCCAUGCCGCGUGAGUGAUGACGGCCUUCGGGUUGUAAAGCUCUUUUGUCCGGGAAGAUAAUGACUGUACCGGAAGAAUAAGCCCCGGCAAACUUCGUGCCAGCAGCCGCUGUAA
rnacentral:rRNA from 1 species